CAAUCGGUUUUAUUUGUGCAACACACUGAAAUGAAAAAAUUGUAUCACUGUAUUAUCUGUUCUGUUUUUGUGUCCAUACCAUGUGAACACUAUCCUGAGAUUCCAAGGUCCACAGAGUCCGGUCAAUCCAGCCUCAAAUUCAAACCAGUGAUCGUAGUUCACAAUCCUAUAUCUCCCAUAAUUGCUAUUCUUUCUUGAGCUAACAAGUUUUAUCCAGCCAAGUCAUAUAUCCUAAGCCAUCCAAACAAUACUGGAUGUUUCCCAACAUCAUGGGAAGCAUCCAAAAAGACUGCCUGCAUCCAUCCAGUUGUCUCCUAAUAUCACAAUUAAGUUAAUAGAACAUCCAAAAAAUGGUCCAGAUUUACUAAAAUCUACAAAGACAUAUGAAAUGCACUGAAGUCAUCAUUUCCCCCAUACAAGAGAUUCUAUACUCCAUCCAAACGUCAUUCUAUACUCCAAUAACUCCUAUAAUAAGGAAAACCACUGAUGAAAAGGUUUAUACAUCAAAACUCAGUCACUACUGUCCACUACUCUCAAAAGAUUUCUGCAAUGAGCUACACUUCUGACUUCCUCCUCAUCCAUUAUAUGAUUCUCCGCUCCAUGGAUUAUUUUUAUAAAGAAGCAUACAAUUGAU